rnacentral:rRNA from 1 species
GACGAACCGUCCAAACGUUAUUCGGAAUCACUGGGCUUAAAGGGUGCGUAGGCGGCCCGGAAAGUUGUGUGUGAAAGCCCUCGGCUCAACCGAGGAAUAGCGCGCAAAACUACCGGGCUUGAGGGAGACAGAGGUAAGCGGAACUUAGGGUGGGAGCGGUGAAAUGCGUUGAUAUCCUAAGGAACACCAGGAGCGAAAGCGGCUUACUGGGUCUCUUCUGACGCUGAGGCACGAAAGCUAGGGAGCGAACGGG